rnacentral:rRNA from 1 species
AACGAACGCUGGCGGCAUGCCUAACACAUGCAAGUCGAACGAGACCUUCGGGUCUAGUGGCGCACGGGUGCGUAACGCGUGGGAACCUGCCCUUAGGUUCGGAAUAACUCCCCGAAAGGGGUGCUAAUACCGGAUAAUGUCUUCGGACCAAAGAUUUAUCGCCUUUGGAUGGGCCCGCGUUGGAUUAGCUAGUUGGUAGGGUAAAAGCCUACCAAGGCGACGAUCCAUAGCUGGUCUGAGAGGAUGAUCAGCCACACUGGGACUGAGACACGGCCCAGACUCCUACGGGAGGCAGCAGUGGGGAAUAUUGGACAAUGGGCGAAAGCCUGAUCCAGCAAUGCCGCGUGAGUGAUGAAGGCCUUAGGGCUGUAAAGCUCUUUUACCCGGGAUGAUAAUGACAGUACCGGGAGAAUAAGCUCCGGCUAACUCCGG